CAACAAAUAAGUUCGAUAAUUUUAGGAAAAUUAUUUUUACUUGAUGAAGGGAUUUGUACUUUUGUUCUCUGGAUACUAUACUUGAAAUCGACGUUACUUCCAAGAGAGGAACACUAGAAUUUUAGUAAAAAGUGACAGUCGAAAUGUACUUUCAUCCUCAUCUUGUUCUCCAUCUUCAUCAUCAUUCUGAGUAGCUUCACCAUCAACAUCAUCUGGACCCAUAACAUAACAAGUGGGGAGUUCGAUUUCCUCACCUACAUGACCAUUGGUAUCAUCCUCCAUCGUUUAUCUAUUAUGAUUCAUUAGUUGACUUGUUCUGGUGUAAUUCAUUCAUUAGAUUUAAAGAAACUUCCCCCAGGUUUAUUAUGAUAGAGUAAUAAGAGGUUGUUCAAAAGUUAUAUGAAAUUGUUCCGCUUCUUUUUUUUUUUUUUAAUGCGAGAAAUUUAAUUUAACAUACUAUUUAUUAUCACCACCAAGAGAACUUACAAUAAUAUAAAUAUGCAUUUUGUAUGUUUACCCAAUGUUGUAAAAGAUAUAUCGAAUAAUAUAAAAGUUAUUGAUUUCUUGUUGGAUCCAAA
rnacentral:lncRNA from 1 species